GACGAACGCUGGCGGCGUGCCUAAUACAUGCAAGUCGAGCGAGCUUGCCUAGAUGAAUUUGGUGCUUGCACCAAAUGAAACUAGAUACAAGCGAGCGGCGGACGGGUGAGUAACACGUGGGUAACCUGCCCAAGAGACUGGGAUAACACCUGGAAACAGAUGCUAAUACCGGAUAACAACACUAGACGCAUGUCUAGAGUCUAAAAGAUGGUUCUGCUAUCACUCUUGGAUGGACCUGCGGUGCAUUAGCUAGUUGGUAAGGUAACGGCUUACCAAGGCAAUGAUGCAUAGCCGAGUUGAGAGACUGAUCGGCCACAUUGGGACUGAGACACGGCCCAAACUCCUACGGGAGGCAGCAGUAGGGAAUCUUCCACAAUGGACGCAAGUCUGAUGGAGCAACGCCACGUGAGUGAAGAAGGGUUUCGGCUCGUAAAGCUCUGUUGGUAGUGAAGAAAGAUAGAGGUAGUAACUGGCCUUUAUUUGACGGUAAUUACUUAGAAAGUCACGGCUAACUACGUGCCAGCAGCCGCGGUAAUACGUAGGUGGCAAGCGUUGUCCGGAUUUAUUGGGCGUAAAGCGAGUGCAGGCGGUUCAAUAAGUCUGAUGUGAAAGCCUUCGGCUCAACCGGAGAAUUGCAUCAGAAACUGUUGAACUUGAGUGCAGAAGAGGAGAGUGGAACUCCACGUGUAGCGGUGGAAUGCGUAGAUAUAUGGAAGAACACCAGUGGCGAAGGCGGCUCUCUGGUCUGCAACUGACGCUGAGGCUCGAAAGCAUGGGUAGCGAACAGG
rnacentral:rRNA from 1 species